rnacentral:ncRNA from 1 species
ACUUUAUUGAGGUUUUGUUAAAUUAGGAGAGUUUGGGGGGGGGUUUAUAUCUGAUUUUAAGUGUAUUUGAGUAAUUUUACAUAAAAUUUUAGAUAUUUUAUUAAGCAGCUUGUUCUGUAAAUAUAAGUGUUAAUAGUUGUUAUAGCAAUUAUUGUGAUUAUUUKRARRYKYAUWKWAMAUUUUAUUUAAUAUAUAAAUAUUAAAAGUUUAAUUAUAUUUUAAAAAAAUUUAAUUAAUAAUUUUGUAGUAUAUAAAAUUAUAAAGAAAUAAAAAUAAUUUUUGUUUUAGAAUAUAUUUUUAAAAUAGAAAAAAUUUGUGCCAGCAUUCGCGGUUAGACAAAUUUAUGAUUUGAGUGAAUUUUUUAAAUUUAAUAAGUAUUAAUUUUAAUAAAAUAGGAAUUUAUUGAUAAAUAUUAAAUUAAGGUGAAAUUUUAUUAAUUUAUAUWWWKWAWAUYUUAUCUAAUCCUAGUUUAUAGGAUUAGAUACCCUAUUAUUAUAAUUGUAAAUUGUGAAAAGUUAGUUAAUUAAGUUUUAUUUUAAAAUUUAUAAAUUAUUAAAAAAAUUAUUUUAUGUUGUUGAAUUUAUUAAAAUUAGGUAGUAAUAGUUAUGGUCUUGAAACUUAAAGAAUUUGACGGUAAUUCAUUCAACUUAGAGGAACUUGUUUUUUAAUUGAUAGUCCACGAUAGAAAUUACCUAAUUUAUAUAAUUUUAUAUAAUUACUUAUUUGUAUACCGUCGUUUUAAAAGGAUUUUUAAAGAAUAUUAAUCUUUAUGAUAUUUUUUUUUUAAUAGUAAUUCAGAUCAAGGUGCAGUUUAUAAUUAGGAUAAAAUGAGUUACAAUAAAUUUUAUUUAUUAUGGAAUUAAAGUUUUAAUAAAUUUUAAUGAAGGCGGAUUUAAAAGUAAAUUUUAUAAUAAUUAUUAAAUUUGAAAUUAGUUUUGAAUUAUGUACAUAUCGCCCGUCACUCUCUUUAUAAAAAGAGAUAAGUCGUAACAAAGUAAGGGUACUGGAAAGUGUUCUUAGAAUUAGUUAAA